rnacentral:rRNA from 1 species
UAACCAAAACUCCGGUGCCGAAGGAUGGGCUCGCGUUGGAUUAGAUAGUUGUGGGGUAACGGCCUACCAAGUCGACGAUCCAUAGCCGGACUGAGAGGUUGAUCGGCCACAUUGGGACUGAGACACGGCCCAGACUCCUACGGGAGGCAGCAGUGGGGAAUAUUGCACAAUGGGGAAACCCUGAUGCAGCAAACGCCGUCGUGAAGGAAGACGGUUUUCGGAUUGUAAACUUCUGUUCUUAGGGAAGAAGAAAGUGACGGUACCUAAGGAGCAAGCCACGGCUAACUACGUGCC